ensembl:lncRNA
CCUAGACUAACAACUGUUAUUACACUGAACUGACUUUGAGAAGUUUUUAAAACUUACUUCAUUUUCUCCCCAAACCUUUUGUUGUGAGCAGCCAGGUGCUGGCAGCAGCAGCUGCAGGACGGGCUCUGUGUGGAGAAAGGCCUGGCCUACCACAGCUGCUUCCACAGCUGAGCCAUCAGCAGAGCUGCUGUGCAAAUGUUCCAGAAAAGGCUGAGCACUGGAGAACAGAGCAAAGGAAAAGCAGAAACAACUCUACUAACACUGAGGCUGGAGGAAAAUGGAGAGGGGAGGAGGAGAGCACUGAAUGCUAAGAGCAGAGGUGGCUUGACAGCCUAUGGAGCCUGUUUUGCCCACAGUGAGAAUGGAUACGGUUGCAAAAUGAAAAAUAUUGCUAGGAUUCUGUGAUGGACUGAUAGAAUCAGUGGACACAGAAAAGGCAACUAAGAGUAGAAAUUUGUUCCAAACACUCAAGAUCUGAUAACUGAUUCCCAUUUAGAUGUCAUUGAGACCUCUGAGAAGUACAGAAUAAUCAGAGCACAGCAGGCACCAGUCAUGAAUCCUCCAUUCUUCACAGCCAGCCUCUGACAUGCUCUGGUGGACAGGGAGAGGACACUGAGUGCAACGGCACAUCACCAAGUCAUCCCUUCUCUGAAAGGGGCCAUGCUUUCAGAGGCUGAAAAAUCAUCCCUGAUGCACCUUGUCUCUGGUAUCUAAAGGAUACAUAGACAUGUCCAGCACAAUCUAAGAACCACAUACACUGAGUAGCAGAGGAUUCAAUAAAUCUUCCUAUUCUGUGUCCAGUUGCCUCUUAUUAAGGCUCCGAUGGGCAUAUGUGCCGGGAAGCUCAUGAAUAAGCAAAGUCCUCCAAAAAUGGUUUUACCAUGUCUGAGCAGAAGAAAAGAAACGCCUCCUUGACCUGAUCUGACACCCCUGCCGAUGCAGCAAGCAGUUGUCUUCUCUGCUGCCAGGACACACUGCUGACUCUAAUCUACUAAGACUCCAGAUGUUUAAUAUUCAGUUUCUUUUUCCUGCACCAGCUGGAUGAUUUGGAAAAGCCUGCAGAGCUGUCAUCUCUCCUGUAUUUUAUUUCAAUGCAGAACAAUUCACUCCUGAGUCUUUCAACCAAAUAUGCCAAGCAGCAUACAAAAGCCAAAUGAAACUCAUGUUUCUAAUAGUUAUCACUGUAUCCUGGGACAUUGAGAGAUAACACUAGAAAAUCAUUCAUGAGCAACAGAGAGAAUAAAACAUAUUGCUACUGAUGGUAGAAUAGACAAAGAGAUAAUUGUAGCAUGGGAUGUACGUACAUUGUACAUGGUUUGUACUUUAAAUCUCAAAAUCUGAAGAAAACAAACAAAGGUUAUUGCUCCACCACCUUUGCUUAUUAUUGUAAUUGUCUAUAUUGUAUUCCCUCUAUCUACCCUUUUGAAUACCUUCAUGACAAUUUGACAGGUGCUCUUGGCACAUCUUUAAUGACAUAGAAAUACAUGCAAAUUCACAGGGGUGUAGCCAUAUAGUGUUUCAAUGAUGCAGAACUGGAAGAACUGACCUCCAAAGAAAGAUGAAGUUUUCAGGAGCCACUGCAGCAGCACUCCACCUGUGAUCUCCGUCACCAGAGACUGGUUUGUCCACAAAGUACCACUGCUGCAGGAUGAAAGCAAGAAAAAUCUCUGCAUUUGUGCAAAAGCUGUGUUUGUGGAAAAAGAAAGGAAAGGGAAAAGGAAAGAGGAAAAAGGUUAGCUCCAAUGACAAGCAGGGAAGCAGAUUCUGCUUUCCCUUAGUACGUUGUGGUAGCCUGAUACUAACCUUCACAGGUAGGAGACAAGACAGGGCUAAAGACCUGGAGGAGAAAGUUAGUACAGGUAAUUCAUGCCUCUUGGUAGCAGUUUUCUUGCAAUGCUUUGACUAGAGUUCACCACCAAAACCUCUAUUUUUAGUUACACAUUCUGCAGUCAAUUUCUUUGUACAAUAACUGAAAAUAAAGAAAUUGCAUGGACACCACAGGAAAAUGAAGACACAAAGGCAAACAAAGAAUUAUCUGCCUGAGGGAAGGAGAAGUAUUCUAAAGUUCAAAAUGUGUUACAACGUUAAUCAUCUGAUCAAUACCAGUAAUCUCAGUGCAGAAAAAUACAUGGGAUUUGGUUUUUAAGUAGGUACAUGCAUUUUGGGGAAGUUCAUCUUCCCUAUAUUUUGUCUGUGAAGGAUGAGUUCAUCCUCCUAUACACCAGUAAGUACCAAAAUGAUAGUGAGACUUUCUACAUGAGAAAAAAGA